rnacentral:rRNA from 1 species
AACGAACGCUGGCGGCAUGCCUAACACAUGCAAGUCGAACGAUUGCCUUCGGGUGAUAGUGGCGCACGGGUGCGUAACGCGUGGGAAUCUGCCCUUAGGUUCGGAAUAACAGCUGGAAACGGCUGCUAAUACCGGAUGAUAUCGCGAGAUCAAAGAUUUAUCGCCUGAGGAUGAGCCCGCGUUGGAUUAGGUAGUUGGUGGGGUAAAGGCCUACCAAGCCGACGAUCCAUAGCUGGUCUGAGAGGAUGAUCAGCCACACUGGGACUGAGUCACGGCCCAGACUCCUACGGGAGGCAGCAGUGGGGAAUAUUGGACAAUGGGCGCAAGCCUGAUCCAGCAAGGCCGUGUGAGUGAUGAAGGCCCUAGGGUUGUAAAGCUCUUUUACCCGGGAAGAUAAUGACUGUACCGGGAGAAUAAGCCCCGGCUAACUCCGUG